rnacentral:rRNA from 1 species
CCUACGGGAGGCAGCAGUGGGGAAUAUUGGACAAUGGGCGAAAGCCUGAUCCAGCAAUGCCGCGUGAGUGAAGAAGGCCUUAGGGUUGUAAAGCUCUUUCGUCCACGACGAUAAUGACGGUAGUGGAAGAAGAAGCCCCGGCUAACUCCGUGCCAGCAGCCGCGGUAAUACGGAGGGGGCUAGCGUUGUUCGGAAUUACUGGGCGUAAAGCGCGCGUAGGCGGCCAUGCAAGUCAGAGGUGAAAGCCCGGAGCUUAACUUCGGAACUGCCUUUGAGACUGCAUGGCUUGAACCCGGGAGAGGUAAGUGGAAUUCCGAGUGUAGAGGUGAAAUUCGUAGAUAUUCGGAGGAACACCAGUGGCGAAGGCGGCUUACUGGACCGGUGUUGACGCUGAGGCGCGAAAGCGUGGGGAGCAAACAGGAUUAGAUACCCUGGUAGUCCACGCUGUAAACGAUGAGGGCUAGCUGUCGGGGGCCAUUGGCUUUCGGUGGCGUAGCAAACGCGUUAAGCCCUCCGCCUGGGGAGUACGGUCCCAAGAUUAAAACUCAAAUGAAUUGACGG